rnacentral:rRNA from 1 species
AGUGAACGCUGGCGGUAGGCCUAACACAUGCAAGUCGAACGGCAGCACAGUAAGAGCUUGCUCUUACGGGUGGCGAGUGGCGGACGGGUGAGGAAUACAUCGGAAUCUACUUUUUCGUGGGGGAUAACGUAGGGAAAUUUACGCUAAUACCGCAUACGACCUACGGGUGAAAGCAGGGGAUCUUCGGACCUUGCGCGAUUGAAUGAGCCGAUGUCGGAUUAGCUAGUUGGCGGGGUAAAGGCCCACCAAGGCGACGAUCCGUAGCUGGUCUGAGAGGAUGAUCAGCCACACUGGAACUGAGACAGGGUCCAGACUCCUGCGGGAGGCAGCAGUCGGGAAUAUUAGGCAAUGGGGGCAAGCCUGAUCCAGCCAUACCGCGUGGGUGAAGAAGGCCUUCGGGUUGUAAAGCCCUUUUGUUGGGAGAGAAAAGCAGCAGGUUAAUACCCCGCUAUUCUGACGGUACCCAAAGAAUAAGCACCGGCUAACUUCGUG